AGGUAGUGAGCAGUUCAGGUAAGCAGGAGCUAUUUUAGUUGCUGUUUUGUUAGCGAGUGUCAGGAUUUUUAAUUUGAUGCGAGCAGCAACUGGGAGCCAGUGGAGGGAGAUGAACAGCGGGGUGACAGGCACUGUUUUGGGGCUGGUUGAAGACCAGACGCGCCGCCAUGUUGGAGGUCAUCUGCAGAGAUUUGAAGGUACAUGCGGGGUGCAUGCUGCCAGUAAGGAGCUGCAGUAGUCGAUGAGAUUACGAGAACCUGGACCAGGUUAGUUGUGCUGCAGGCUCAGACAGGAAGGAUCUGAUCUUCCUGAUGUUGUUCAGGACGAACCGACACGACCGACCGACUGAGGUCACGUGAACCUUAAAGGACUCGAACCCACAACCUUUGAAUCUCAUCUGUCGAGCUGAGCAGCCAGGAGUCCGAUGAGUUAUCCGCUGUGCAUAAUUUGCAGCCAUGAAAGGAAACCGAAGAGGACGACGACGAAGGAAACCAGGGAAGAGACAAAACGACAGAGGAAAGUGAACGGAAAUAGUCUAUUAGCAGCUAAAA